CUACGUGCCAGCAGCCGCGGUAAUACGUAGGUGGCAAGCGUUGUCCGGAAUUAUUGGGCGUAAAGCGCGCGCAGGUGGUUUAAUAAGUCUGAUGUGAAAGCCCACGGCUCAACCGUGGAGGGUCAUUGGAAACUGUUAAACUUGAGUGCAGGAGAGAAAAGUGGAAUUCCUAGUGUAGCGGCGAAAUGCGUAGAGAUUAGGAGGAACACCAGUGGCGAAGGCGGCUUUUUGGCCUGUAACUGACACUGAGGCGCGAAAGCGUGGGGAGCAAACAGGAUUAGAUACCCUGGUAGUCCACGCCGUAAACGAUGAGUGCUAAGUGUUGGUCUCAUAAGAGAUCAGUGCUGCAGCUAACGCAUUAAGCACUCCGCCUGGGGAGUACGACCGCAAGGUUGAAACUCAAAGGAAUUGACGGGGGCCCGCACAAGCGGUGGAGCAUGUGGUUUAAUUCGAUGCAACGCGAAGAACCUUACCUACUCUUGACAUCCAGAGAAUUCGCUAGAGAUAG
rnacentral:rRNA from 1 species